CCUACGGGCGGCAGCAGUGGGGAAUAUUGCGCAAUGGGCGAAAGCCUGACGCAGCGACGCCGCGUGAGGGAUGAAGGUCUUCGGAUCGUAAACCUCUGUCAGCAGGGAAGAACGGUCACUGUGCUAAUCAGCAGUGAAUUGACGGUACCUGCAAAGGAAGCACCGGCUAACUCCGUGCCAGCAGCCGCGGUAAUACGGAGGGUGCGGGCGUUAAUCGGAAUUACUGGGCGUAAAGCGCUCGUAGGCGGUAUGUCAAGGCAAGGGUGAAAUCCCCGUGCUCAACGUGGGAACUGCCUUUGAAACGGGCAAACUGGAGUGUGUGAGAGGAUAGUGGAAUUCCAGGUGUAGGAGUGAAAUGCGUAGAUAUCUGGAGGAACAUCAGUGGCGAAGGCGACUAUCUGGCACAUAACUGACGCUGAGGAGCGAAAGCGUGGGUAGCAAACAGGAUUAGAUACCCCAGUAGUC
rnacentral:rRNA from 1 species